CCCUUAGAUGUUCGGGGCCGCACGCGCGCUACACUGAAGGAAUCAGCACGUCUUUCUCCUUGUCCGAAAGGGCUGGGUAACCCGCUGAACCUCCUUCGUGCUAGGGAUUGGGGCUUGUAAUUCUUCCCCAUGAACGAGGAAUUCCCAGUAAGCGCGAGUCAUAAGCUCGCGUUGAUUACGUCCCUGCCCUUUGUACACACCGCCCGUCGCUACUACCGAUUGGAUGGUUUAGUGAGAUCCUCGGAUUGGUCCCGGAGCGGCCUCUGGUCGUGCCGGAGUGCCGAAAAGAAUGUCGAACUUGAUCAUCUAGAGGAAGUAAAAGUCGUAACA
rnacentral:rRNA from 1 species